GAAUCUUCCACAAUGGACGAAAGUCUGAUGGGGCAAUGCCGCGUGAGUGAAGAAGGUUUUCGGAUCGUAAAACUCUGUUGUGAGGGAAGAACAAGUAUGAGAGUAACUGCUCGUACCUUGACGGUACCUCAUUAGAAAGCCACGGCGAACUACGUGCCAGCAGCCGCGGUAAUACGUUGGUGGCAAGCGUUGUCCGGAAUUAUUGGGCGUAAAGCGCGCGCAGGCGGUCCCUUAAGUCUGAUGUGAAAUCCCACGGCUCAACCGUGGAAGGUCAUUGGAAACUGGGGGACUUGAGUACAGAAGAGGAAAGCGGAAUUCCAAGUGUAGCGGUGAAAUGCGUAGAGAUUUGGAGGAACACCAGUGGCGAAGGCGGCUUUCUGGUCCGUAACUGACGCUGAGGCGCGAAAGCGUGGGGAGCAAACAGG
rnacentral:rRNA from 1 species